rnacentral:lncRNA from 1 species
AAACGUGGGGGAAAGAAAUUCUUAAUUCUUCAUUAAACCCUAAUCAUGAAAAUAGUUCCCUAUAUAUAGGGCCCAAAUACACAACUUGCAUAAACCCCCCUUACACAGAAAUAAAUCCUAAUAAACCCACAAAUAAUACAAAUAAGUCCUAAAAUGCAAAUAAGCCCAGAAAUAAAAUAAACCACAAAUAAACCCUAAAAUGCAAAUAAGCCCAGAAAUAAAAUAAUAAAAUAAAUAUGCAAAUAAACGGGUCUGACUCAAUCCG